AGAAAAGGGCAGGCAGGCUUGAAAGCCCAGAUGGCGGAUUUCCUUCAGCCCUGGAGAAGAGAGAUUGGUUUCAACUAGGUUAACCAAAAGGCAACCAGAACUAAUAUCGACUUGCCUCCUUAAUUCCAGUGAUAGAGAUUCCAGUAAUAAAGCCGGGCACUAUGGCGCACACCUAUAAUCCCAGCCGCUCAGGAGGCUGAGACAGGGGGAUGGAGAGUUCAAAACCAGUCUCAGCAACGGCGAGGGACUAACCAAAUCAGUGAGACCAUCUCUAAAUAAAAUACAAAAUAGGGAUAGGGGAUGUGACUAGGGGUUGAGUGCCCCUGAGUUCAAUUCCCGGUACCCUCCCAAAAAAGAGAAUUAACCUUUAUUU